ACUCUGCUACACUCUACUACACUCUAAUACACUCUGCUACACUCUAAUACACUCUGCUACACUCUGCUACAC